CUGAUCCCUGCCCGAAGAGUAGGAUGACUUCUGUUUUAGAUAAGUGAAGAUCAUAGUGCUGAAGAAGAUGGUGACUCCCAGGAGACAGGAGGCACAGGUGGAGAAGGCUUUCUUCUUUCCAGUGUGGAAUUAAUUUUCAGGACUCUCAGGGCAGCGCUCUUCACCUCUUUGUUCCUGAGACUGUAAAUGAGAGGGUUCAGCAUGGGGAUCACAAUCGUGUAAAACACAGAAGCCACC
rnacentral:lncRNA from 1 species